GGAAGGGAAGCAGGAAGUAAAAUCGCAUCGUGGCUGGGCUUGGUGGCUCACACCUGUAAUCCCAGAACUUUGGGAGGCCAAGAUGAAGUCUUGCUGCGACGCCCAGGCUGGAGUUCAAUGGUGCGAUCUUGGCUCAGUGCAACCUCCGCUUCCCAGGUUCAAGCUGUUAAGCACAUCACUCGCCUAAAGAGAUCACCAGGCAGACACGUCAUCAUACGGAAUGAACAUCCAUGAGCCUGGUGUCCUUCACCUUUUCUGCAAAGCCCAGCCCGGGUGGUGAAGUUUAUCUCCAAGACAAACAGCUGCCCCUGUGUCUGUGACUGCUUGUAUUUGCUGAUGACGUCAUAUCUGUCCUGGGCUUCCUGAUCCAAGUGAUUCCAGGGAAGCUGUUUUCUUGUCCUCCUCACAACUUCCUAGAAAGCAAGAUAUGGGCUGGGUGCAGUGGCUCUGGGAGAGUGAGGCAGGAGGAUGGCUCAAGCCCAGGAAUCUGAGACCAGCCUGAGCAACACAGCAAGACUCCAUCUCUACAAAGAAAAAAAUAGCCAGGUGCAGUGGCAAGUGCCUGGAGUCCCAGCUACUCGGAAAGGUGAGGCAGGAAGAUUGCUUAAGUUGAGGAGUUCGAGGCUGCAAUAAGCUGUGACUGCCUUGCUGGACUUCAGCCUGGCAACGUGAGCCCCCAUGCCCAGCCAUACGGUUGCAUUCUCUCAUUGUUCACGGCACUGAUAGAUUUGUGAAACUUCCAAGCCAGAGAUGAGGCACAAUGAGGAAACGGUGAAAAGGGGCAGAGGCUUGAGCUGUUGUGGAAACAAAUCUGAUAGAAACGUCAGUAAGAAGUCAGUGUGGUGAGGCGGUACCUGGCACCUGAACACAGCCACAGGUGUGUAAUCAGGUGGGGUGCAGACAAAAAUGACCAUCAGAAGCAUCCCUGUGUUGCCAAACUUUGCUCUCCUGAAAGAGAGAAAGUGUUAAAAGACAAGUAGAGGCCAGGUGCGGUGGCUCACACCUGUAAUCCCAGUACUUUGGGAGGCCGAGGAGGGUGGAUCACCUGAGGUCAUGAGUUCGAGACCAGCCAGGCCAACAUGGCAAAACCCUGUGUCAUAACUAAAAAUAUAAAAAAGGAAACUUAGCCAGGCAUGGUGGCAUAUACCUGUAGACCUGUAGUCCCAGCUACGUGGGAGGCUGAGGCAGGAGAAUUGCUUGAACUCAAGAGGCGGAGGUUGUAGUAAGUCAAGAUUGUGCCACUGCACUCCAGCCUGGGGGACAGAAUGAGACUCAGUCUCAAAAAAAGAAAAAAAAAAAAAGGAAAAAAAAGGACAAGUAGGCCUCAUGGAAAAGAAUAUUCCAUUCCAUUCCAACCCCUGACAUCCCCUGCUGUCCCUUUCGGGGAACUGCUUAGCAAUCCAGGUGUUUUUCUUCUGGCUUCUCUUUGGUGACAGCAGUUACUAGUAUAGAAAUAUAUUAAAUGUAAUGGCAAAAACCACAAUUCCUUUUUUUUUAAACAGAAACUCACUCUAUCACCCAGGCUGGAGUGCAAUGGCAUGAUCACGGCUCACCACCUCCUGGAUUCAAGCAGUUCUCCUGUUCAGCCUCCUGACUACAGGCACCUGCCACCAUGCCCAGCUAAUUUCUGUAUUUUUAGUAGAGAUGGGGUUUCACCAUGUUGGUCAAGCUGGUCUCAAACUUGUGACCUCAUGAUCCGCCUGCCUCGGCCUCCAAAAGUGCUGGAUUACAGGCGUGAGCCACCUUGCUUGGCCCCCACAAUUAAUUUUGCACCAACCUUUUGUUUUGAUGGAAUUCUGUAAAAGUGCUUCAAAGGCUUCCCUCUCAGAAAAAGCACCAAGUGAAGGGAAAAUGGUUCCAGCACUUAGUGCAUUUGUUGAUCAGGGAAAAUACUUGGCAUACCUGCAAGGAUUUAAGUCUUACUAAGAGGGCAUUUGGAGCGGUUGUCGAUAUUUGGAGUUCUGUCAAUACAGAAAACAAAUUUGCUUAGGAAAGGAAAGUCCGGAAUUUUCUCUGCUAAUGUUUUCCCAUGGGAAAAAACAAAUCAAGACAAGAAAAAUGAAGAUAAGCCAGGCAGAUCAACUUCCACAAAUCCGGUUGGGCCAUUUCCCCGAGAAGCCAAGUCACCAAGGAGUUUUCAGCGUGACAGAUCAGCAUCUCUCUCUUUCUACCCUUGGAAAAGUAAAGAAUGUUCACGUUAUCUUGACCUUGAGCAAAUCAAUAGCCUCUUCUCACAGAAGCCAACCUGCACCUGGAGAAAGAGAUUUCAGAAUCAGAGCUGUGGAUAGAAGUUUAAAAAAGAAUACACAGGAGCCUAAAGAAUCGUCUUUCUUUGGUCUGUUGGCCACUUCCUAAGUUCGGAAAUGUAGUGGUCUCAAUUCUUUAGAAAGAAACAUGAGCCAUUUAUUAUAGAUGUGGGCUAAUAUUUAUAGUCUUAAUACUAGGGUUCCAAAAUAUCCAUAAAAUAUAAUUGUCAAAAAAUAAAAAUAAAAAAAAAAAAUACAGAGAG